UGUGUGUACUGUGUUAUGUGUGUGUUAGAGCGUGUGUGUACUGUGUUAUGUGUGUGUAGAAGCGUGUGUGUACUGUGUUAUGUGUGUGUAAGAGCGUGUGUGUACUGUGUUAUGUGGGUGUUAGAGCGUGUGUGUACUGUGUUAUGUGUGUGUUAGAGCGUGUGUGUACUGUGUUAUGUGUGUGUUAGAGCGUGUGUGUACUGUGUUAUGUGUGUGUUAGAGCGUGUGUGUACUGUUAUGUGUGUGUUAGAGCGUGUGUGUACUGUGUUAUGUGUGUGUUAGAGCGUGUGUGUACUGUGUUAUGUGUGUGUACUAGCGUGUGUGUACUGUGUUAUGUGUGUGUGUAAGAGGAUGUGUGUACUGUUAUGUGUGUGUGUAAGAGCGUGUGUGUACUGUGUUAUGUGUGUGUAAGAGCGUGUGUGUACUGUGUUAUGUGUGUGUUAGCGCGUGUGUGUACUGUGU
rnacentral:lncRNA from 1 species